rnacentral:rRNA from 1 species
CAGGUGUUUUAUUUGGAGGAACGCGAAGAACCUUUCCCUGGCUUUACAAUCUCGGGAAACCCUCGGAGAAAAGGGGGCCCCUUUCGGAACUCGUACACAGGUGCUGCAUGGCUGUCGUCAGCUCGUGUCGUGAGAUGUUGGGUUAAGUCCCCCAACGAGCGCAACCCCCCCUCUCAGUUGCCACCCCGUAAUGGUGGGGACUUUAAAAGGACUGCCGGUGCCAAACCGGAGGAAGGUGGGGAGGACGUCAAGUCUUCAUGGCCCCUUUGUCCAGGGGUACACACGUGUUACAAAGGGCCGUACAAAGGGUUGCGAAACCGCGAGGUGGAGCCAAUCCCAGAAAAAGCUUUUCCGUUUGGAAUGGAGUUUGCAACUUGACUUCCUUAAGUCGGAAUCGCUAGUA